AUUGAACGCUGGCGGCAGGCUUAACACAUGCAAGUCGAGCGAGCGGCGGACGGGUGAGUAAUGUCUGGGAAACUGACUGAUGGAGGGGGAUAACUACUGGAAACGGUAGCUAAUACCGCAUACCAUCGGAUGUGCCCAGAUGGGAUUAGCUAGUAGGUGGGGUAAAGGCUCACCUAGGCGACGAUCCCUAGCUGGGCUGAGAGGAUGACCAGUCACAGUGGAACUGAGACACGGUCCAGACUCCUACGUGAGGCAGCAGUGGGGAAUAUUGCACAAUGGGCGCAAGCCUGAUGCAGCCAUGCCGCGUGUAUGAAGAAGGCCUUCGGGUUGUAAAGUACUUUCAGCGAGGAGGCGUUACUCGCAGAAGAAGCACCGGCUAACUCCGUGCCAGCCGCCGCGGUAAUUC
rnacentral:rRNA from 1 species